rnacentral:rRNA from 1 species
GCGGUGGAGCAUGUGGUUUAAUUCGAUGCAACGCGAAGAACCUUACCUGGGCUUGACAUCCCGGGAAUCCUUGGAAACAGGGAGUGCCCUUCGGGGAACCUGGAGACAGGUGCUGCAUGGCUGUCGUCAGCUCGUGUCGUGAGAUGUAGGGUUAAGUCCUGCAACGAGCGCAACCCCUGUUUCCAGUUGCCAUCAAGUAAAGUUGGGGACUCUGGAGAGACUGCCUGCGCAAGCAGAGAGGAAGGUGGGGAUGACGUCAAGUCAGCACGGCCCUUACGUCCAGGGCUACACACGUGCUACAAUGGCCGGUACAGAGGGCAGCGACCUGGUGACAGGUAGCGAAUCUCCAAAGCCGGUCUCAGUUCGGAUCGGAGUCUGCAACUCGACUCCGUGAAGCUGGAUUCGCUAGUAACCGCGAAUCAGCAGGUCGCGGUGAAUACGUUCCCGGGCCUU